GACGAACGCUGGCGGCGUGCUUAACACAUGCAAGUCGUACGGUAAGGCCCUUUCGGGGGUACACGAGUGGCGAACGGGUGAGUAACACGUGAGUAACCUGCCCACAACUUUGGGAUAACGCUAGGAAACUGGUGCUAAUACUGGAUAUGUGCUCCUGCUGCAUGGUGGGGGUUGGAAAGCUCCGGCGGUUGUGGAUGGACUCGCGGCCUAUCAGCUUGUUGGUGGGGUAGUGGCCUACCAAGGCGGCGACGGGUAGCCGGCCUGAGAGGGUGACCGGCCACAUUGGGACUGAGAUACGGCCCAGACUCCUACGGGAGGCAGCAGUGGGGAAUAUUGCACAAUGGGCGCAAGCCUGAUGCAGCAACGCCGCGUGCGGGAUGACGGCCUUCGGGUUGUAAACCGCUUUCACCAGGGACGAAGCUUUUUGUGACGGUACCUGCAGAAGAAGCACCGGCUAACUACGUG
rnacentral:rRNA from 1 species